rnacentral:misc_RNA from 1 species
AAGGAGCACCACGAAAAGGGUUGAGACACUGGGUCUUACCCGAGCCGUGAGGAACCGGUUGCCUGUAGUGGGCACGGUUUGGUGCACAACAAACUUUUUUGACUGCCAGACACACUAUUGGGCUUUGAGACAACAGGCCCGUGCCCCUUUUGGGGGGUGGCAUCCGGUUGCGGGUGUCGGCGUGUUGUUGCCUCACUUUGGUGGUGGGGUGUGGUGUUUGAUUUGUGGGUAGUGGUUGCGAGCAUCUAGCACGCAGAAUCGUGUGGUCUCACUCCUUGUGGGUGGGGCUGGUUUUGUGUGUUGAUGUGCAAUUUCUUUUGAAACUCAUUUUUGGUUUUUGUG